UACGAAGGGGGCCAGCGUUGCUCGGAAUCACUGGGCGUAAAGGGCGCGUAGGCGGCCAUUUAAGUCGGGGGUGAAAGCCUGUGGCUCAACCACAGAAUUGCCUUCGAUACUGGAUGGCUUGAGUUCGGUAGAGGUUGGUGGAACUGCGAGUGUAGAGGUGAAAUUCGUAGAUAUUCGCAAGAACACCGGUGGCGAAGGCGGCCAACUGAACCGACACUGACGCUGAGGCGCGAAAGCGUGGGGAGCAAACAGG
rnacentral:rRNA from 1 species